rnacentral:lncRNA from 1 species
UAGCCUCACUCACUUGAUCUUGAUAUGAGUCCUUAAGAAUCCUAUCACUUUUAAGCUCCAAAAUUGCUUUGGCAUUCUCAAAUUGGGGAUUCUUAAGUGGGACAUUAGAUUGAUGACUAGGUCCAGGUGGUUGAUGGGUGGAUGGAUUAUUUCUAGGAUUUGGUACUGGUUGGCUUGGCAAUUGACCUGGUUCUCUCCUCAUGGUAGACUCAACUAGCUAUCCUAUUUGUGCUUCUAACCUAGCGAUAGAUUGCUGUUGGGUUAUAAUCAAUUGUUGGAGUUGAUUGAAUCUAUCAUCGGCU